AUUGACAAGUGGAAGGGCCGCGAUUGCCGACCUGUGAGCUCCCAAAUCGCUGGUUUCGUGUAGACGUUUCAGAGAUGCAUCGUGGAUUACAUCAAGAGAAGCCGGCAGUUAGGUGAAUGUCCAUCAGUGACUUCCAGUUUCUAACAAGUUUGUUUGGAAGAGAGAAAUGUCUUGUUUGCCUAAGGCGAAGAUCUCUAAGAGACGUCCAAGUUUUUUGCAACCUGGUGCGCUGAAUGUUAAAAGGCGAAAGCAUAGUAGAGUUAUAAGUGAAUACGAGUGAGCAAGAGAGGAGAGAUACUGGCAGGCCCAGGGUAUGGAAGACUUGAUCUUAAACCGAAAAUGCCUUAUAAAAGGGAAAGGACAGUCCCCAAUACACACCUGAAUUCAAAUCCAAAUAAAAAAUGGCCGAUUGUAACGGAUCAGGAAGCAGGAAAAAGAAUUGCUCACGAUUUUAUUUUAUAGCGUUCAUUAUUGUGGCAAAAAUUAAACAUAUUUAGACACUUGAGGUACCAACACCUAAAAUAAGGUAAACAAAAGAUGACUAACUUCUGACAAGGUUCUUUGAUAGAUCGGUUUCGUGAUCGGUUUCAUGUUUGACCAAGCUUGGUACACAAUCAGGAAAAAAAGAUGACAAGUCAAGUUAAAAACUAAAAGGCCAAAAUAUGAUGUCAAGGUAAAAGAUAAAAUAUAAAAUGUUAUUAAAAAGGUGACAGGUCAGGAUAAAAGGUCAAAGUGUGUUAUAAAGAUGACAAGUUAGGAUGAAAGGUCAAAGUAUGUUAUAAAGGUGACAAGUCAGGAUGAAAGGUCAAAGUAUGUUAUAAAGGUGACAAGUCAGGAUAAAAGGUCAAAGUAAGUUAUAAAGGUGACAAGUUAGGAUAAAGGUCAAAGUAUGUUAUAAAAGUGAAAAUUUAGGAUGAAAGGUCAAAGUAUGUUUUAAAGGUAACAAGUUAGGAUGAAAGGUCAAAGUAUGUAAUAAAGGUGACAAGUUAG